AAAAUUAGAGUGUUCAAAGCAGGCAGAUCCAAUUUUCUGCCACCGAAUACAUUAGCAUGGGAUAAUGGAAUAGGACCCUGUCCUCCUAUUUUCAGUUGGUUUUGGCAGCGCGAGGACUAGGGUAAUGAUUAAUAGGGAUAGUUGGGGGCAUUAAUAUUUAAUUGUCAGAGGUGAAAUUCUUGGAUUUAUGAAAGAUUAACUUCUGCGAAAGCAUCUGCCAAGGAUGUUUUCAUUAAUCAAGAACGAAAGUUAGGGGAUCGAAGACGAUCAGAUACCGUCGUAGUCUUAACCAUAAACGAUGCCGACCAGCGAUUAGGAGACGUUGAAUACAAAACACCACCAUCGGUGCGGUCGUCCUUGGCGUCGGUCUUUCGGGGCCGGCGCGGGGACGGCUUUAGCCCGGUGGCACCGGUGAA
rnacentral:rRNA from 1 species